AAUCCUAGGAAUGCAAAACUGAUCGCUGAGCUCGGUAGUGUGAGCUUGUAACCCAAGCGGGGGCAUCAAGGCGGUCGGACAUUGUUUCGGUUCUUAACAGGUAGGGUCUGUUAAGGUUUGAUCUGCAUCGUCCGGUCCAAGUAGGGAGUUGGGCCACGCGACUCGGGCGUAGGCUCGGGUUUCAUGGUCCUUGGAGUUGGGCACCGCGUCAGGCUGGUUUCACAGAGCAGCGACAACCUCCCGCUCCCGUCGGUGGAAGGAUAACGAAUCGGUGCCUCGCUGUCCCACUGAAGCCUUAGGAUCCGAGGUUUACAAGUCUUGAUCAGGUCGAAUUCGCGUUUUUCGGUUCAGAAAGGGAAAUGGUAAAAGGGUUGGAAGGUCUUACAGACGAGGAUCUACGGGCGCUGAGGGGAAGCAAAUUUUACGCCUUUUCCAUUACCACCGCCUCCCUCAAGAACUCAGCCCAGGUUCGUAAUUUCGUCGACUAGGGUUUCUGCGGAGGAAAAUGAAACUGUCCAGUUGGAGUAGGUGACUCCCUUAGAGCUGAGAUCUCGAAGACUUUAGAAGGUGUUCAAAGAGCUAAGGAGUUAAAUAUAUAAGGAAGCUGAUUAUAGAACGAGACUCCAAACUGGUGGUGCGCUGGUUGAAAGAUGACAAGAAUGGACUGUGGGCUUUACAGCAAUGAAAAGAAAAACUUUAAGUGGCUGACAAAGGACACAGAAGUGAAAGUCACUUGGGUUAAGAGAAGUGCCAACUCUUUUGCUGAUGGCUUAGCUAAACAAGGGGUGAACAGGGGGAGUUCAAAUCAGCCCCCCACAAGAUUGCCCCUACAACGUCCCACAGCACAUCCCCGCCAUGUAUUGGGAACAUCUUUCAAUGAUGACAUCACCAUUUCUGGUAUCAUCACCAGGAGAUGUUCGUAAUACAUGGCGAGAAUGUGCUGCAGAACGUUGUGGGGGCUGAUUUGAUCUCGAACAGGGGUGCUUUGUUUUGGUCUCUAUUGUAAAUUCUUUUCUGGUUUGUUUGUAUCCUGUUAGGAGAGAUAAGAGAGUUUGUCUCUUCCCCUUGUAUCCUUUAUCUUUAUUGAUGGAAAUCUUCUGCUAUGAUAAAAACUUAUGCUCAAACUAGUACCCAUGGUUCAUGUUUGCUUCCUCAAAAUUAUCCUACCCUUCACUUUUUCUGAUCUGAAACACCUUAUUCUCCCCACAUUUUUCUUUGUUUCAGUAGACAUGGUUCCCUGUUUUGGGACUGAAAGAAAGGAGUCUUUUACAUUUGUACAUUUCAAAAAGGUCACUUGUAAAAGUUGUUUGAUUUCUUCCACCCAAUCCCACAGAGAUUCAAAUACAUAGUGGCUGCUUAGGAUACAAACAGGAGAUAACCCUGUCUAAUAAUCAGACUUUAUAAUCCAGACCAUAUUUCAAGGAUCUUUUCUGUUUUGAGCAGACACAGGAUAGGAAGAUCGUAUUAUCUAAAAUGUCAUAAGGUGAAAAUGAUUUCGAACCUCAGACCAGCCUCUUAUCCUUCCUAACUUGGAUGAGCAGACAUUUUCAUUUUUCAACAUUUGUAACAUUUUUUUUUUAAUCUUUAACACAACAACGUCUUUACUAAUUUGUACAAGAACAUGUAAAUACAUGCCGGACAACUAGUGCAGACACCUCACAAUGCAGUUUAGGCUAGAUCAGCUACCUAAUCCAUUAGAACCCCUUUCCUUGGGCUAUAUGUAUCAUUCAGCUUCCCAAUGAGUGACCGACCCCCAAAUACAAUUGCUCCCUAUUAACAUCCUGUUGCUUUCGAAUAUCUGCCAUACCAUUUGCUGAUCUUUGUAUCCAAAUGAAAGUGGUUCUCAGUUCCCUUGCUAGUUGUCUCACUUCUCUCAAGACAUGUCUAUACUUCCAUGGCCCUGGACUGUUAUACUUGAGCUACUUGAUGAUAACCCGUGUCAACAUUUGUAACAGAGUGGAAAGAAUCUUGUAACAGUGCAAGGACCAUCGUUUAAUCUUGUAUAGGUUUAGUGGAAAGAAUCAAUUAUAUCUAAUCCAAAAGACAGAGUGGAAAUAUUGAUCAAAUCAAAUUGUAGUUAAGGAUUGAGAUUGUACUGUUUUUGUUGUUAGACAUGGAGCGGAUAUAAAACUCUUUUGGCCAGUAUGUCACAGGUCGAAUGGUCCAGCUGUGCAGGUUGACUGCAACACCCCACUUGAACCCUCAAAUAAAAGAUGUGAGAAAUAAAAAUUAGAAAAAAAGCAAAUGGUUCCAGAUUGAAGCUUCUAAAAAUGGCUUAAAACAGCAUAUGCAUUAAAUAAUAAACACUCUAGGUUGUAAUCAAGGUUCUAAAUAUCGAUAUGCCUGAUAGCCGGUAGGGGUGUAUUGGGCGGUAUUGGUACUGUCUUUUUACUUUUUUUUUAUUUAUUUUUCUCAAAACCAGUUCAAGGGGGGCGUUUUGAGGCUCCUCCAUCCCCUGAACCGGUCAGAACCCCGAUACACCCUCUGUAGGGGCAAUAUCGGGGUGCUCCCAAUACAAUAUGUAUCGGCCAAUACGUGCCAAUACUUUGAACCUUGGUUGUAAUACCUAAUUACCUACUAAAACAUUUAUUUGGAGUAAGUUUUACAAAGUCAACAUUUUUAAGAACUGUGCAAGUGUGCAUCACAAAAAUUAUUUUGGCUAUUGUCCUGGUUUUCUAGCAGGUUGUUAGUUUCAAAGAAUACAAAAUUUAAAACUUUAAACCGGUGAAUCUUUAACCAGCAUAGCUAUUGUUUGAUGUCUUCAUUACUACUUUGAAAAUUUAAGUUCAUACCCUCUCCUACAAGUUUUGAUCUAAUUGUACCAUUUG